rnacentral:tRNA from 1 species
UCCUCGAUAGUAUAGUGGUCAGUAUCCCGCCUGUCACGCGGGAGACCGGGGUUCAAUUCCCCGUCGGGGAG